AAGUCGUAACAAGGUUUCCGUAGGUGAACCUGCGGAAGGAUCAUUAAUGAAUACACUGGACGCUCUUUUUAGAGGUCCGACCCUUCAUUACCUCCACACUGUGCACACACUUCAUUUUUACACCCAUUUUUAAACACUAUAGUAUAAGAAUGUACCAGUCUCUUAAUUGAGCAUAAAUAUAUAAUAAAA
rnacentral:misc_RNA from 1 species